UGAGGAAUAUUGCGCAAUGAGCGAAAGCUAGACGCAGCAACGCCGCGUGGACGAUGAAGGCCUUCGGGUCGUAAAGUCCUUUUCAUAGGGACGAGUGAGGACGGUACCUCUGGAAUAAGUCACGGCUAACUACGUGCCGCAGCCGCGGUAAAACGUAGGUGGCGAGCGUUAUCCGGAUUCACUGGGCGUAAAGCGCCUGCAGGCGGUCUCGUAAGUGGGAUGUGAAAUCUCCUGGCUUAACUGGGAGGGGCCAUUCCAUACUGCGAGGCUUGAGGGCAGAAGAGGGAAGCGGAAUUCCCGGUGUAGUGGUGAAAUGCGUAGAUAUCGGGAGGAACACCAGUGGCGAAGGCGGCUUCCUGGCCUGCUCCUGACGCUAAGAGGCGAAAGCUAGGGGAGCGAACGGGAUUAGAAACCCCGGUAGUCCUAGCUAUAAACGAUGGAUACUGGGUGUCGGUGGUCCUAACCCCAUCGGUGCCGAAGCUAACGCGUUAAGUAUCCCGCCUGGGGACUACGGCCGCAAGGUUA
rnacentral:rRNA from 1 species